UAAACGUACGCAUCUGCCUCCUCCUCAACCCUUGGUGUGUGCCCAAGCUGCCGCCACCGCCGCACGGCCGCACCUCAUCCCGCUUGCCAUCCACGCCGCCGCGGUCGCACGUCAGCCCACUCGCCGCCGCCGCACGUCAGCCCGCACGCCGCCGCCGCACGUCAUCCCGCUAGCCACACAGGCCGUCGCGGCCGCACCUCAGCCCGCUCGCCGCCCAUGCCGCCGCGGCCGCUCGCCAUUCCCUGCCGCAACCAACCACCUCCGUCUCCCAUCCACGACUAGAUCGACACCCCUCUAAUGGAUGCCGCCCCAACCACCUCACCUAACAGGACGCCGGCCUAGCCAACCUCGACAAGACAUUGCUUGCCCCUACCUGCCUCUACCUCCUCGACGUAGGAUGACUCUGACACUCGUCUGCCUCCUCUUUGAGGACGGCUUUGGAGGACGGUGUUUCCGCAGCUCCGCAUCGGACGCGAGCGUGGCAUGGAGCAGCUGCCUCCUUUCCUGCGACGAGAAAUCCAUAGCCCCCUCAAUCAGCAUGUCAAUCAUUUAGAUACAAUGAGUCUGGACCUUGUGGCCACUCCUCCCUAGACAACUUGUUCUCUUCCUUCGGCUUGCCUUCCAGAGGGUCUUCACAGCUUCAGUUAUAGUCUAUAGGACAUACGAAAGUUGCAGACAAAUCGAUUGAAAUUAUGUGCUAAGCCUCAGGCUCCUUUGCCACUGUGCCAGCUUGUUGAUAUUAGAGGGAGGAUCAAAGGGACGACUGGUACUUUCCCUUACAGCAGCUGGUGAAAAGCAAAGAAUUUUCUCAACCAAUGAAGCUUUCUUGGUGGUGUCUAGGUUAUGAAUUCCUACGAUUUCAGGUGUGCUGCAAUCCAGGAAUGCAGCAGGACAGAACAAUGGACAUUGAUGGUACUAUGAGUGUCUAGGUAUUGGCAUAUUCUGGUAAGGUGCCGCUGACUCUAUGAGGUGUGUAAAAUCUGGAUCUAUAAAUGCCCCAGGUUGCCUUGGGGGGGCAAAUGUUGCAAACUGGUCAAGGUUAGUUAUAUUUCUUCUUUGCCAUUUGUCUGGAUAAUCCUCUCUGGCAAGUUCACCUAGGACGAUAUAAUCUGCUAUUUACUUUCUAUAUGGUUCAGCAUGAGCAGAUCACUUUAGGAGAAUAUAAUCAUCUACCCAUGUGAUAUUUACUUCAUCUGCGUUUCAGCCUGUUCAAACUCUGUACAAGCGCCCAAAUGGACAAAUUUUGAUUUGGUGACUUGGUGUUUAACUGUUCUUAUUGAAUAUUGGAUCCUGGCCCUUAUGUUAUCGACCUGUAGUAUGUUUCUAGCUGGGUGUCUAUUGCUUCUCUUAAGGUCGCAGUAGUUUGAUUGACAUAUAUAUAUAUAUAUAUAUAUAUAUAUAUAUAACAAUUUCAUUUGGAUCACACAACAUUCUUUUUCUUGAAAAAUCACAUGGUUUAUUGGACUUGAAUUAGCAGUGUGGUUCAUGUGAUAUCCCCAACCCUGAGUACUUUGAGCUUGACAAGCAUGACUUUGAUCUGAUUGCUGCUAUUGGAAUUGAGAUCUGGACAAUGCAGGAUGGAAUCCUUUACGGCAAUAUUCUUAUUACCAAUGAUUACAAGGUAACCACCUCUAUCCUGGAGAAGACAUGGAAGCCCAAGUUUGAUGUUGAGAAGGAAAAAAGUAGAUGGCUGAACAGUGGAACAUCUAGCCUCCCACUUGGCAAGGUGCAGCAGCCUUCUUUUUUUCUCUUUCCCAAGAGCCCAUCGUGGAUCAUAAGUAGGUUCGAUCUGAUGAUCUAGAUCGAGUAGGUCAAAGGGACUUGCCGGCAACACUCCUCUUUGAGCUGGUAUAUCGUUCAUCUUAGGUGAUCUCCACCCUGGAAAAUAUCAUGGAACAUCAAAAAAUGCAUUUCGAAAAGGUUCCUGCAAACUUCAUUUUAUUGAUCUUGCAUUUAUGAAAAUUAUGAAUAGGACAAUCGUUCGUGUUUUCUUCCAGAUGUUCUAAUGUAUCAAAUGAUGCCAUGAUAGUUGGCAUUCAUGCUUCAAGUAUGACAUCAGCUCAACCAUCGCCAAUAGUCUUCUUUCUUGCUAUCCAAGUCUUAAAAGAGCAGAAAAUCUUUGAACAAGGGGUGGGUGGGGGUACACGGUUUGGUCCCCUGUGCAGAAUAAAACAGUUAUAUGAUACAUAGGCUACAAUUUUCAGAACUGAAACACGGGUAGGUUCCAGUUGUGAUUCCGAUGUACAACUCCGAUUAGUAUUUAUUCCCACCGGCUGUAUAUACUGCCUAUAAUCAACAUACCUGUUUUGUGGAAUUUUGAUCAAAUUUGUAAUGCAUGGCCUGUCAGCUUAUAUUGUCUAUCUUGUUCAUCUGUGAGCCCAACUAAACUAAUUCCGUCGUUUGUAUUUGAUUGAAAAAUAGCAUGAGUUUACGAGUUGAUUUCACAUAUUUAUUUGACAAGCCCGGCUGUAUUUGGCAACCUCUUGCUUAAUUUUCAAUUUGGCCGGCCUAUUGUUUAGUAGGUCUAAUAUCCCACGCAAUUUGUACGAGGACCAAAGGAUUAUUGUAGUCUGGAUGUGUGCAUCCUCUUUAACUAUCAGUCUAUUAUGAUAAGUGACAAUAAAUUAUUAUGGCAUCCAAGGAUUUGUACCCUGACUAUAAUGCUUUUCCAUCACCUUAGAUUAUGAGUUUGAUAUUUUAGGAAUCGUGUUACUUAGAACAACUUGAUAAGGUUAUCUGAAAACCAAGAUUACACACACCCUGAGUUUUUGGAUAGACAUGAGCAAGUUGAUUAUGAUGUUAUCUUUUCUGCAUCGCAUGGACGCCCUGCACUGCCCCCACCAGGAUUGCGCUGCCUUGCCCUGCCCGAGAUCACCGCCGGCUACGUCGCUACGCUCCUCAUGGCCAGGCAGAAGCAGCAACAGCAGCAGCAGGCGCGGCCGGAGAUCCCGGCGCCGCCCGCCGAGAAGCCUGUGGCUGAUGACGAUAGGAGCGAGGACACCACCAGCCCGGACACCCAGCUCACCUUCCCCGAGGACGAUGAGCAUGACGAGGCAGCGACAGUGGACGACGAAGCCAAGGCCAGCGUGCAGGACAAGGUGAGCCGCCAGGCCGCGAGAUCGGUGGGGAAGAACGACAUGGAGCAGCUGCCAUAGCUUAGGCUAGGGCUUAGGUGUGCCGGACGCAAGCGGUGCUACCCGCAAUAGCUCUCGCCUUGCCGCUGGUGGUGGAGACGGCCUCGAAUGGUAGACCGCAUCUCUCCUUGUGUGAAUCAUCUACGUGAGGAGCGGCGGCGCACAAGGAAGUACUGGAGAAUGGGGAAAGAUAAAGGAAGAGCCCUCACGGCGAAGCACAAGGGAGUACUGUUUUUUUAGUAGAACACAACAGAGCACUAGAGAAGGUGUAUGAAGAUGAGUUAGUGAGUCCAUCUGUGUACAUUAACUAUUUUGUUUGGGCCAAGCCCAAAUAGGUAAAAAAAACUCUUCUCAACCAAAGAAUCAACUAUCUGUAAGACUUACCCAAAAAUUUCCAAACAAAAUUAGCACACAAAAAUAGUUUAGAACAUUUCAAAAAAUAUGUUUGUAAUUUUUAGAAACACUUAAAAAUUCUCCCCA